CACGAUGGAGAUGAAAGUUUGUGGGUCGAAAAUUUUAAAGAGAGAAAGUGGAGAGGAAUUUGAAAUUUGGGGGUUGGGGGACCGAAUUUUGACCUAUUUUUCUUUAUUUUUUUAUUUUGUUUUUUUUCGAUGAUAUAAGAUAAGGGUAUUUUAGUCUUUAAUUUAUUUUGAUAUACAAAAGAGUUACUUUUAAGUUGAGGCUAUUAAACACUAUAUUUUUAAAUAAUGGUAUUUAAAAACUUGGAAGCCAUAAGAAUAUAUAGGUGGUGUUCAGUUUGAUUAGA
rnacentral:lncRNA from 1 species